GGCAUGCGUUCUCUACAUCUUACGAGUAGGUGUCACCGAUCAAAUGUUGGAACCUACUCAAAGGAGCUUCUCUGUGGUCCUAGGAAAGCAGCUUCAGUCUCCAGAUGCUAGUCCAUCCAUGAAAAUUGCUGCUCUUCGCACCUUGUCAUAUACCUUAAAAACACUGGGAGAAGUUCCACGUGAGUUUAAAGAGGUGUUUGAUGACACAGUUGUUGCGGCAGUAUCUCAUUCGUCCCAACUUGUAAG